CCAGCCUCUCUUUCAGGUAUACCUACUUCAUCCAUGGCUGCUGGACAGCUGCAUUCUAGGACUCCCUGGAUAACAAGUUCUUUGGAGAUAACCUACCCUGAAGCUGGUAUUUUUGACAACCUUGUGGUUGAAUUUCUCCAACUGAAACACCACCACCACCACCACCCAUCCUGCUCACAUUAAUAUUACUCGACUUCAGUCUAAGAAGUCUAGAUCUAAUUUUAAUUCGAGCACAUUUUUAUCUUGAAUUUUUGCAAAUUACUAUAGCAUUUUCUUCUGUCUCUGUCCCCCAAAUACUGAGGUGGCCAGCAUGUCUUCAGGAUCUCCUUUCUGGAUCUGAUGUUCAAAGUUUGAAGUAACAGACAGAAAACAGUGAAUAUGAGUUACAAAGAAGACAACCAAAUAAUUACCAAGAAUUAGGCAAAACCAACAUAGAAAUGCCAGGCAACAACUUAGCAACAGAACUGCAAACCGAAAGAUAGAGUGAGGCAAAAUGAGAGAAAGCUCUAAGAUAAGCAAGAUUGUGAGUCUUACAAAGAUUAUAUCCUGUUCAUGGAACAGGAAAAGGGUGACAAAAAUUAUGUCCAACAUAUGAAGACUUCAGACAUGAACAGUACAAGGGAUGGGCUUAGAUGAGCAGAGACUACACCAACCAAAAGAACAAGAGGAGGAUUGUCCCAGAUCACAAUAGAAUUUCAUUAUUAAUGGACAGUUAAUAUAAUAAAGUGUUUCUAAAAUAAUUAU
rnacentral:lncRNA from 1 species